rnacentral:tRNA from 1 species
UCCCUGGUGACUUAGAGGAUAAAGUGUCUGCCCACAACGCGGGAGACCCGGGUUCGAUCCCUGGCUAGGGAA